GAUGAACGCUGGCGGCGUGCCUAAUACAUGCAAGUCGAGCGAACAGACGAGGCGCUUGCUCCUCUGACGUUAGCGGCGGACGGGUGAGUAACACGUGGAUACCCUCCCUAUAAGACUGGGAUAACUUCGGGAAACCGGAGCUAAUACCGGAUAAUCUAUUGAACCGCAUGGUUCAAUAGUGAGAGACGGUUUUGCUGUCACUUAUAGAUGGAUCCGCGCCGUAUUAGCUAGUUGGUAAGGUAACGGCUUACCAAGGCAACGAUGCGUAGCCGACCGGAGAGGGGGAUCGGCCACACUGGAACUGAGACACGGUCCAGACUCCUACGGGAGGCAGCAGUAGGGAAUCUUCGGCAAUGGGGGAAAGCCUGACGGAGCAACGCCGCGUGAGUGAUGAAGGUCUUCGGAUCGUAAAGCUCUGUUAUUAGGUAAGAACAAAUGUGUAAGUAACUAUGCACGUCUUGACGGUACCUAAUCAGAAAGCCACGGCUAACUACGUG
rnacentral:rRNA from 1 species